rnacentral:rRNA from 1 species
UACAUGGGGUGCAAACGUUGUUCGGAAUCAUUGGGCGUAAAGCGCGCGUAGGCGGUUACUUAAGUUGGAUGUGAAAGCCCUCGGCUUAACCGAGGAAGUGCAUCCAAAACUGAGUAGCUAGAGUACGAAAGAGGGUCGCGGAAUUCCCGGUGUAGAGGUGAAAUUCGUAGAUAUCGGGAGGAACACCAGUGGCGAAGGCGGCGACCUGGGCCAAUAUUGACGCUGAGGUGCGAAAGCGUGGGGAGCAAACAGG